AUUUUAUUGAUUUAAGAGAAAAUUGUGUAAAUGUCAUUCAAACUUUUAAGAAAACUGAAAAAAACUGCACUCUCUCUACAUGAGUUUUUAUAAUAAUAAUUGUAAAUUGAUAUUAAAUAUAGAGUAAAUUUAAACCAAAUUUUAUUGAAAUACAUCUAUUCUGGUAUCCAUAAAAACCAAUUAUUUACCUUAAGUAUAGUAAAUUAUAUAUUAUAAAUGUCAAUGAUGAAGAAAAUAAGCAGGGCUCGGAAGUUAUAUCAUUAAACACAGUUAAUUUUGGGCAUUAUUUUAAUAUGUAAUAAUAAAUUUUAAAUAAGCUUUAUAAAAUAAAAAUAGGAAAAUAUGCAAAUAACUGUACAUUCAUACAUUAUUUCAUACUAAGUUAGUAUAUAAUCAAUACGAAGAAUCAAAUAAUCAUAGUAAAAUGCAAAAUAUACAAUUUGAAAAAUAACCAAAUUAUAGGAAAUUAAUAGAAGUUUUAUAUAUCAACCAACACAACCACUUUUUUUUUUAAUUUAAAAUUUUUUUUUUGUUUGCCUUAAACUAUUUGACUUAAAAUCUUUCAUUAAGUGACUAAAUUAAUACUAAAAUAAUUAAGAGUCAAUUGGCUUUUAUACGAAUAAAACAUAUUUAUUUCCAUUACAUAAUUAUAUGCCUACACACAUUGUAAAUAAAGUGGUAAAUAUGCACAAAUGGAAAAAAAUUGCAUAUAUAUUCAGUGAAAAUGAAACCGAGCCCUGGUCAUAACUGUUAACACAAAAUGUAUCAUUUACCUAUGAAAAUAGGUAUGUAUUAAGUUUUAUGAAAUUGUUUUGACGAGUUCUAAUA